UCUAGGAUCUGGCUUCUCUGCCCUUAGCUGUCUGUUCUGAUAACUUAUAUUUCCUGCCAGCUCUUCCUUCCUAGGCCUUUGGAGAAGAUUUCUGAGAGUCCAUUUGGUUAGUCACCGGAACAGGGCAAGACAGGGUGUAAGACCUCUCCAGCUGAGAGUCUGCCCUGAGGAUGUUUCUGAGGGUCAGAGAUAAUCCAUGUCAAAAACACAGCCCCAGGGAAGGAAGGGGAGUGGGCAGCAGCCCACAGACCCAGUCAUGCGCUCAGUCAGUGUCCUGCCAGCUGCUUCUCUAGGAGCCCCACAGAGUGGCAGGAACUGCAGAUGAAGCAGGCAAGUGGAGUCCAGCCCUGGGGGAGCUCCACAUGGGGAGGUCACCUCUGAUGGGGUUGCUGCAGGGGCCUGCCCUCUCUACGGAGGUGGGACUUGAACCGGCUUUGGGGGACCUCACCAAUUUGAAUGAAGGCAACUGGGGGUUGGAUAGGCAGCCUUUCCAACAGAGAAGCUGAGAAUGCUGGUCAGGCCAUCCAGCCUUUCCCAGACUCCUCCUGUGUGCCCCACUGUAUGUCCACAGCACAGCCCUCCCAGAAAGGAGCUUAGUGUCACUUGGCAGAUGAGGAAACUGAGUCCAGGGUUCAAGACUGCAGGCAGGAUGUGCUAAAUGCCAGGUGAGCUGGGUCUCUGCUUACUGAAUCCAGUCCCGGCUGGGGAGAGAAGCAAGGGGACAGGCCUUGCCAGGAGGUUACAAGACAAAAGGAGGAACCUGGAACCAAGGGGUGAUGCUCUUGGAAUCAUAAAGAAAUGGAAUCUUGAGUGUGGGUUUCUGGGACAAAGCUAGGAGCAAGGAGGUACCCCAUGCUUGCUGCUUUUCUCCAAGGCCCUGAACACGGAGGUGAGGCCUCAGAUACCUGGGUGCCCUUCCUGGCUCUGCCAUUUACAGCCGUGUGACCUGGAGCCGCCCACCUUCUGCGAGCCUCAGUCUCCUCCUCUGUAAACGAAAUCUAAAGAUCCCCCUCGAAGAGUUGUCGAAGAUGCUCUGAUACAGAGGAUGGAGGGAGGAAAGCUGAGGGGCAGUCCUGACAAAUGUGCUCACUGACCAGGGCUGGGAGCUUGUUUGUUAGGGGUAGGAGAGGGGAUAAGACUUCAUUUUCUCCUUCCCCUUAGUGGGUGGGCACUGCCUGGGUCCUCUGGGAGGGAAGACUCUGAAAGAGAGCGUUCACUUCCUCCGGGGUCUUGCUAAUCCUCUUUGUUGUUCUCUGGGUGUCAAGCAAGCAUAAUAAAGGCUACUCGGUGCCAGCGGGGAGGGUUCACCACAUGCCUGGCUCCACCCCAGCUCUUUACUUGUCCUAACACUGUUGUUGCUCAGCUGUUAGCCUGAUUUUGCUAAUGGUGAAACUAAGGUUGAGGAUUUAGGCAGCUUGUCCAAGGUCACACAGGAAGCAAAGAGCCACUGGCUUCAGGGUCCCCUACUAACUUUGCAAAAGCCCCAAGACCCUGUAGCUGGGACAGGCUGCAGACCCAGCUUACAGUGUGGCUUUGGCCCAGUCACCUAACCUCUCAAGAGAUUAAUAUUCUCUCCCUGUAAGGUGAGGAUGAUGUUCCACUGUCUGCUCAGGGUUAUUGUGGAAAACAAAUGAGGGCAAAUGAACGCAAACCAUGAAACACUCAGCAGAUACCCGGUGCAAGUUUCUCAACAGAGGACCCUCCCCCUUCCUUAUGCUUACUGGGCGCCCAGCUCCUGAGGUGUCCCUGCGUCCCCUGCAGGCGCAGUCUGAGACAAAGGACCAGCCAGGUCGCUGGGAAGGGACUGAACAGCCACUUGGCGCCACCUAGUGGUCCACGGUGUGUGGUGCUUGGGAACCGGGAGGUCAGAGCUACUGUGGGGCUGGGGAUCUGAGUAUGACCAUUGACCCUGUGGGGUGGGCAAAAUAAUGCCAGAACCUCCCCAAUCCCCAUCUUCUUUUGCUUUAAAGAAGGGGUGGCCACUCCCGGCUGUGCUCCUGCCAGUGGCUCUCACUUGUCCCCAGUUCUCCCAGUUCUGACUGAGAUGGGGUUUCCUUACAGCCCCAGGGAAACAGGUUUAGUGUUAGAUUAAACUAGAUGUCAAGAAAACAAAGAACUAGUAAUGUAUAUAACUGUCAAAUCACAUCUGAAACUAAUAUAAUAUUGUAUGUCAACUGUAUUUCAAUAAAGGAAGUAAAG